UACGGAGGGUGCAAGCGUUAUCCGGAUUUACUGGGUUUAAAGGGUGCGUAGGUGGGCAGGAAAGUCAGUGGUGAAAUCUCCGGGCUUAACCCGGAAACUGCCAUUGAUACUAUUUGUCUUGAAUACUUUGGAGGUAAGCGGAAUAUGUCAUGUAGCGGUGAAAUGCUUAGAUAUGACAUAGAACACCAAUUGUGCAGGCAGCUUACUACACAGUAAUUGACACUGAGGCACGAAAGCGUGGGGAUCAAACAGG
rnacentral:rRNA from 1 species